rnacentral:rRNA from 1 species
UACAGAGGUCUCAAGCGUUGUUCGGAUUCAUUGGGCGUAAAGGGUGCGUAGGCGGCUCGGUAAGUCGGGUGUGAAAUCUUGGAGCUUAACUCCGAAACUGCAUUCGAUACUGCCGUGCUUGAGGACUGGAGAGGAGACUGGAAUUUACGGUGUAGCGGUGAAAUGCGUAGAUAUCGUAAGGAAGACCAGUGGCGAAGGCGGGUCUCUGGACAGUUCCUGACGCUGAUGCGCGACAGCGUGGGGAGCAAACAGG